rnacentral:rRNA from 1 species
AUUGAACGCUGGCGGCAGGCUUAACACAUGCGAGUCGAGCGGGGUGAUGGUGCUUGCACUAUCACUUAGCGGCGGACGGAUGAGUAAUGCUUAGGAAUCUGCCGGUUAGUGGGGGACGACAUCGCGACAGGGAUGCUAAUACCGCAUACGUGCUACGGGAUAAAGCAGGGGAUCACUUGUGACCUUGCGCUAAUAGAUGAGCCUGAGUCGGAUUAGCUAGUUGGUGGGGUAAAGGCCUACCAAGGCGACGAUCUGUAGCGGGUCUGAGAGGAUGAACCGCCACACUGGGACUGAGACACGGCCCAGACUCCUACGGGAGGCAGCAAUGGGGAAUAUUGGCCAAUGGGGGGAACCCUGAUCCAGCCAUGCCGCGUGUGUGAAGAAGGCCUUAUGGUUGUAAAGCACUUUAAGCGAGGAGGAGGCUCUUUUGGUUAAUACCCAAGAUGAGUGGACGUUACUCGCAGAAUAAGCACCAGCUAACUCUGUGCCAGCCGCCGCCGUAA